rnacentral:ncRNA from 1 species
AAAGACUUAGUCCCAACCUUACUGUUAGUUUUUGCUAGGUUUAUACAUGCAAGUAUCCGCGCGCCAGUGUAGAAGCCCUGGACACCCAGACCGGGUAGAUAGGAGCGGACAUCAGGCUCACCACCUACCGUAGCCCAAAACGUCUUGCAAUUGCCACGCCCCCACGGGUAUUCAGCAGUAGUCAAUAUUAAGCAAUGAGUGAAAACUUGACUUAGCCAUAGCAAAUUCAGGGCCGGUAAAUCCUGUGCCAGCCACCGCGGUCAUACAGGAGGCCCAAAUUAACGUUAUAACGGCGUAAAGUGUGGUUACAUGUUAUCAAAGUAGCUAAGAUUAAAAAGCAACUGAGCUGUCAAAAGCCCAUGUCGCCCAUAAGGCCACUUUAAAAGAGAAUCUUAGACUAAUGAUUUAUUGAAAUCCACGAAAGCCAGGACCCAAACUGGGAUUAGAUACCCCACUAUGCCUGGCCCUAAAUAUUGGUGCUUUAUCUUACCUGAGCGCCCGCCCGAGAACUACGAGCACAAACGCUUAAAACUCUAAGGACUUGGCGGUGUCCCAAACCCACCUAGAGGAGCCUGUUCUGUAAUCGAUGAUCCACGAUAUUACCUGACCAUUCCUUGCCAUGUCAGCCUAUAUACCGCCGUCGCCAGCCCACCUACCCUGACAGCCCAACAGUGAGCGCAAUAGCCUUCCCCGCUAAUAAGACAGGUCAAGGUAUAGCCUAUGGAAUGGAAGCAAUGGGCUACAUUUUCUAAUAUAGAACAUAACGGCAAAGGGAUAUGAAACAAUCCCUGGAAGGAGGAUUUAGCAGUAAAAGUGGGACAAUCGAGCCCUCUUUAAGCCGGCCCUGGGGCACGUACAUACCGCCCGUCACCCUCAUCAAAGGCGAACCAAACCCCUAUAACUUAAUAAGCCAUCCAGCCAAAGAUGAGGUAAGUCGUAACAAGGUAAGUGUACCGGAAGGUGCACUUAGACU